rfam:Acidobacteria bacterium SCGC AG-212-P17 AG-212-P17.5, whole genome shotgun sequence.
GUGGGUAUAGUUCAGUGGCAGAACGCCAGACUGUGGCUCUGGAUGUCGUGGGUUCGACCCCCACUACCCACC